GAUGAACGCUGGCGGCGUGCCUAAUACAUGCAAGUCGAGCGAACGGACGAGAAGCUUGCUUUUCUGAUGUUAGCGGCGGACGGGUGAGUAACACGUGGAUAACCUACCUAUAAGACUGGGAUAACUUCGGGAAACCGGAGCUAAUACCGGAUAAUAUUUUGAACCGCAUGGUUCAAAAGUGAAAGACGGUCUUGCUGUCACUUAUAGAUGGAUCCGCGCUGCAUUAGCUAGUUGGUAAGGUAACGGCUUACCAAGGCAACGAUGCAUAGCCGACCUGAGAGGGUGAUCGGCCACACUGGAACUGAGACACGGUCCAGACUCCUACGGGAGGCAGCAGUAGGGAAUCUUCCGGAAUGGGCGGAAGCCUGACGGAGCAACGCCGCGUGAGUGAUGAAGGUCUUCGGAUCGUAAAACUCUGUUAUUAGGGAAGAACAUAUGUGUAAGUAACUGUGCACAUCUUGACGGUACCUAAUCAGAAAGCCACGGCUAACUACGUG
rnacentral:rRNA from 1 species